AUUGAACGCUGGCGGCGUGCUUAACACAUGCAAGUCGAUCGGUAACAGGUGUAGCAAUACAUGCUGACGAGAGGCGGACGGGUGAGUAAUGCUUGGGAAUCUGCCUAUUAGUGGGGGACAACCCGGGGAAACUCGGGCUAAUACCGCAUACGCUCUACGGAGGAAAGCCGGGGACCGCAAGGCCUGGCGCUAAUAGAUGAGCCCAAGUCGGAUUAGCUAGUUGGUAGGAACGGCCUACCAAGGCGACAAUCCGUAGCUGGUCUGAGAGGACGACCAGCCACACCGGAACUGAGACACGGUCCGGACUCCGUACGGGAGGCAGCAGUGGGGAAUAUUGGACAA
rnacentral:rRNA from 1 species